rnacentral:rRNA from 1 species
UACAGAGGUCCCAAGCGUUGUUCGGAUUCACUGGGCGUAAAGGGUGCGUAGGCGGUCGGGUAAGUCUGAUGUGAAAUCUCACAGCUUAACUGUGAAACUGCAUUGGAUACUAUCCGGCUCGAGGAAUGGAGGGGAGACUGGAAUACUUGGUGUAGCAGUGAAAUGCGUAGAUAUCAAGUGGAACACCAGUGGCGAAGGCGGUUCUCUGGGCCUUACCUGACGCUGAGGAGCGAAAGCGUGGGGAGCGAACAGG